rnacentral:rRNA from 1 species
UGGUGGCCAUAGCCGGGCUGAAACACACGUUCCCAUCCCGAACACGUAAGUGAAACGCCCGCACGCCGAUGGUACUGCGGCACGUCCGUGGGAGAGUAGGUAGCUGCCAG